UUGAAUGUCAAAACGACUCUCGGCAACGGAUAUCUCGGCUCUCGCAUCGAUGAAGAACGUAGCGAAAUGCGAUACUUGGUGUGAAUUGCAGAAUCCCGUGAACCAUCGAGUCUUUGAACGCAAGUUGCGCCCGAAGCCUUCCGGCCGAGGGCACGCCUGCCUGGGCGUCACGCAUCGCG
rnacentral:rRNA from 1 species